CAAUCAGCCCACUCAUUCACAGUAUGUCCAGAACCUGAAGUUAAAUCUAGAAAAGAGCUACAAAAUUGCCAUUGGAAAUGCAGAGAAGCUCAUGGGAAGGAACAAGAGCCGUUUUGACCAGCAUAUAACCCCCUCUGAACUGGACGUUGGUGACAGGGUGCUGGUACGUAAUGUGAAACUCCGAGGCAAACACAAAAUUGCAGACAAAUGGGAACCAGACAUCUAUGUGGUGGUAAAAAGAGCAGACAAUCUUCCAGUGUACACUCUCCGACCAGAGAACAAAUCAAACCGAUUCGUACUCUACACAGAGAUCUCCUCUUACCAUGUGGAUUCUUGCCGCAUUCCAAUAGAACCAACCGAACAACUGUAAAACCAACCAGGAAGCAGUCACUCAACCUUUCUGAUGAGGACUGUACACAACCCCAGUCAGAAGAUGAGGAUGACAUGAUACCGCAUCAAUGGUAUGAUCCUGUCUCAGAGCCUUUGCAAUUCACCACUGUCCACAAUCUGCCAAAACCUUCAUCCACCAUUCCAGUCACUGAAACUUUACCAUCUGAUACGCCAUUCUGUGAACCUGCUACGCUCCCUUUGCCUCCUGUUGAGCCAGCAGGGAGCGAGACCCCUGACUCGGAAACCCCUGUCGAGGAGGAAGCUCCUGAUACUGUGGAAUCAGAGGAGAGUCUGUCCUCUGCUGAACCUACCAAUGUUGAAUUGCCGACUGAGCCCAGUAUGUCCUCUGCUGCUGAUCUACCAUCUAACUCUGACACCUCCAGCUUUGAACUAGAACCUCUGAGAACAUCAACUCGGACCAGGAAACCACCAGACCGGAUGCAAUACUCUAAGCUUGGUCAGCCCAUCUUGAAGAGUAUUCAGGCACUAGUCCAUGGCUUAACCACUGCCUUUACUCAUGCACUGGAGGAUGAAGAGGACCAUCUACUUACUGCCACUGAACAACCUGUCAUCCGGAACCAGCCACCAUGUACAGGGACGUACAUGAGAUCGAGGGGGGAACCUGUAACCCAUAUCAACUACACCCUGUCACAUGACCCACGUCAGCUGAUUUGAGGUCCCUCUCCUGAUUGGUUCCUUCCACGUCGCGGCAACUCUGAAAACCGGCUGUGGAGGGAUACUUCCGGGUUCGACUCCUGCUGUGGCUGUAAGCUUAUGGCGUUUAGAAUGGCGUUGGAAAACAAAGCGUUUUCUCCCCUCAAUUCAUCUAUAAACUCAUUUCACCUCAGCGGUCAGGUUUUUUUUCCCCCCUUUGAAUUGAUGAUCUUCAUAUUGAAGUGGCGAGCCGGUAGGACCAUUCUUUGUUUUUUCCCCUCUUUUCCCCCACUUUGCCGUCUUUGGAUUACGGACAUAUUUCCCCAUUGUAUGAAGCUGGACCCUAAGGAGGAAUACCUUAAAAGUGAACUUUAAAAAGAAAAGGACCAAAAAGGACUCUUAACAAAAGGACUCUUGCACAGAAAAUCACAGCAAUUGAUUUAUUAUUUAAUUGUGGGCAUUUAUUUAUGUUGUAUUAUUUUGUUCCAUUUCCCCUUUCCCCCAUUUAUUCAAUAUAUUUUUGGUGCAAGAUAUUGCAGUCUUUGGUCUCGUCAUUCACACCAUCUAGGCUCCAUAAAGAACUAUUUCUUCUGCGCGUCAGUCAGUAAACCCAUCCAUUGCAAUAACACUA